rnacentral:rRNA from 1 species
UACGGGGGGGGCAAGCGUUGUUCGGAAUUACUGGGCGUAAAGGGCCCGUAGGCGGCCAACUAAGUCCGACGUGAAAUCCCAAGGCUUAACCUUGGAACUGCGUCGGAUACUGGAUGGCUUGAAUUCGGGAGAGGGAUGUGGAAUUCCAGGUGUAGCGGUGAAAUGCGUAGAUAUCUGGAGGAACACCGGUGGCGAAGGCGGCAUCCUGGACCGGUAUUGACGCUGAGGCGCGAAAGCCAGGGGAGCAAACGGG